rnacentral:lncRNA from 1 species
UGUUUGCAAUUGUAUAUGAUUAGAAACCUACAUGAUGUUGUGUAUGACAUAUAAUUAUGUAUUCAUAUUGUUACUUGUAUGUAUAUACAGAUUUUAUGCAUGAUGAUUAUCGAGUUAUAGGUUUCUGUGAUGCAUAUAUGUAUGUAUAAUUGUAGAUUGUACAACGUGUGUAUGUAUGAGUGAAAAACUUGAAUGUGUCUGCUUAUAGAAUACAUAUGUACCUUGUGUAAAUAUACAAGUAUAUUCAUGAUUAUAUGUGUUGCGU